AUCUAAAAACAACAAUCAACCCUACAAACCAACGUAUAUACCUACGUGCUAAAAGUGAAAUUUUGACUCGUAACUACCGGAUAUUGAGAGAUGGGUUCGGGAUGAAAAAUUAAGUGACCAUAAACUACGACGCAAAAUCGUUUUGUGAGACAUUACCUUCGCAAAAUUGGUGUGUCGUCAGCGUGAAGUAGUUGCAGUAUGGAAGUGAAAUUAUAAAGUGACGUCAAGCUAUAAGUUUCAAAAUGGCCGCUGCUGCGCCUGCAGCCUCCUGCAUCAGCAUGGAUCGGGGGUGUGGGUUCGACUGCUUGGUGCAUCUUUGGGAAUGGCUUGAUCCACCCGUAGUACAGUCACAAUAUCCAAUGGAAAACAAGAAAUCAUUACCGGCUACCCAGCAGCCCUUGACACAACAGCAGCUAAUGGCACACCAUGUCCACCCAGAUCAGAUAUACUCCCCGCAACAGACACAGCUGGCAGCACACCUCACUUCUGCGCAAACUGGUCAAAUACAACCCAAUGGCGUCAUGCACCAGCUGCUACAAAGUCAAUACCAUUCAAACAUGAAUGCCCGGUCUCCGCUCCUAGAAAACAGACACGAACUAUAUGGAACUGGGCUCAAUCAAGACUAUACAAGGCACUACGGAGCUAAUGAUAAUUACAACUAUCCUCAGUCACCACCCGGACACGAAAGAACAGAUAUACAUACUGAUCAUAAUGUUAAUCAUGAGUUAUUACAUAAUAUACCCAAAGGGUACAAUGCAGAAGUCUAUCAGGAUUAUUUGAAACGUAACCCACCGAAAGAUGCCAAUCAAAUAUACCAAAAUCAUCAACCAAUGUAUAGACCAAACGCUAAUGCAUACGGUUCCAAGCCAUAUCUUCCGUAUUCAAAUAGGAUAGGACCACAGAGUAACACUGAGCUAUUACGGAGACAGUACAACGAGCUUCAACAAAUGAAAUUACAACAGCAAAUGCAUUACCAAAACCAAGCGCAGAUGUAUCAGCAACAAAAGUUCGCUGAACGACAACUUUUGCUUCAACAGAUUCACGGCGUACAGCCGCCACCUAAUUUACAAAAUAGUAUAUACUCAGACGGUUCUUAUAGGGAUUUAGAUCGAUAUAGUAGUAAAAACGAUUUCAAAGACUAUAGUAGUCCUGAUAUACAAAAAGACAUUGAAAUGUAUACGAGAAAUGAAAUAGAAAAGCAAAACCGACAUUAUCUAGAAUCUCAAUGGCAAACUAACCAGCCACUUGAAUAUCGGGAAUCUGAUAGACACAGACGGCAAUCAGAGAGCGAUAAAAGCAAACCUCAAUCACCUCCAUCCGAUUAUAGCCACCAAAACGAGAAGAACAACAUUGGUGUUGUAUCACCUAUGAAGUCCAGUGAGUCUAGUUCACCAAGUGUAAAAUCUCCAUCUUCGGAUAGUCGCCGGAGUAGUGGUGGUAAUCAAGCGCUGAGAUCUCCUAUAGCUCAAAGGAUUCCGUCGGCACCGGUUGCUAUGUCGGGUAUAUUGUACAAACAGGGUUCAGAUGGACUCAAAGUAUGGAGAAAGAGAUGGUUCGUUUUGUCAGAGUACUGUUUAUUCUACUACAAAAGUCAAGAUGAGGAAAAGCUCUUGGGAUCAGUACUUUUGCCGUCAUACAAAGUGUCGGCGUGUUCAUCGGAGGACAAAGUACUUAGGAAGUAUUCAUUCAAGCUAGAGCAUGCGAAUAUGAGGACAUACGUGCUCGCGGCUCCUGAUCAGGAGUCAAUGCUGAAAUGGGUCAAGGCACUGACCAUGGCCGCACUGAUGCAAAGCCCCAAUGAGCAACCACAAAAACAGAUCGAGCGGCCACCUGCGAAAACCGAGGAGGGAGAUGAAGUACCAGGACCAACUUACGCAAACGCUCCACCAAAACCUCGACGGUCUAACGAAGGUUAUAAUUCUCCUAGUCCUGAUAUGUACGAUCCAAAUUACGACAUUCUAAAAAAGCCAGCAUCACACUACAGUCAAGGCACUAAUCACACUCGUUAUCAAGAUCACACAAACUAUCCAAGCAGUCCAAACCUGGAGAGUACAUACACCCGUAGCCCGCCACCAGUACAGCCAACUCAAUACCAGACGAAACGAUCUUAUGACACGCAUCACCUCUCCCUGCCAUUGACUAACACAGUCUCUGAUAAAUUAGAAAAUAACCAACCAAGUACUUCAUCAGCGUACAAAUCUAAUCCUCAAUCGCCUUACUUUAACGAUAGGUCACGAUAUCAACAUCCUCGACAGCCUACGCAAGACAACACGCAAGAAAGUUUGUACGAUACACAGCAACCUGGACCUCGCAAUCCUUUCCUACAGGAUAAUACACCACCAAUGGAUGAUAGAAACGGGUCUAAAGAACAAGCUAUUCAACAUAACCAAUCUGCAUUGGAGCAAGAAAGAGUACAAUCAAAUUAUCAUGACGAUUAUUCAGAGACUCGAGAGAAAUCUAAAUCUAAUAUUGACAGCAAUGUCUAUAACAAAGAUAUUUAUGGUGAAAUGACACGGUCGAACAGGGGACCGAGUGUGACUAAUGAGCGAUUAUUGGUCGAUAGACGGACACCUGAUGCAUAUGGUCGUGCUAAUACCAUGGCUUCUUAUACCAAGGGUAAAAUCGGAGACUAUGAAGAUGUCUAUGGAAUGUAUGCAGCGGAGAAUGAGUACGGCAAAACAUAUGCUAAGUCACCUCCUCAGUCGUCUCAGACAAACGCUGGUAAUAAUCUUUCUAGUCAACAGCGGCAGCAACAACAAGAAUAUGGCGGGAAUUAUCACCAGGAAAAGACUUUUAGCGGACCAUCAGUAUUAAGAAGAAAGAAAAUGCAAUCUAGUGGUAUUCAGCCUCCAGUGCCCAGGCCUCAUAGUGCCGAUUUUCUUGAGUAUGAAUCCAAGAACGAGACGUUAAAUAAAACCAUGCCAAGUACAGCGACAUGUGAUCCACCUCGCCAACCACAACGGCCUAAGUCUAGUCUUGAUAUAAAUUCAUAUUACGAUCCAAGCUCUGAUAGAUAUUACUCAGAAGAAAGUUAUGCAGAGAAAAUGAGACAAUCGGCACAAUAUUUACAACAACAAGGAUUAGGACCUAAAAAUAUUCAGAUACCAUUAGCAAAAUAUGCGAGUGGAUUAGCAGAAAAACAGCUCAAUUCUCCUUACUCUCAGGUCACUAAUAAUAAUUACGAGACCGAAUUCGCCCCAAAAAAACCUGCACGAGAUAACAUUAGUUAUAAUUCAAAGUAUAGUGAUUUAGAAGGUUUAAAUUCUAAUUGGACUUUAAAAGAAAAAGGCAUUGAACAUCAAAAAGAUGUUUUGAAUCGAAGUGGAAGCGUCAUGAGCGAUGGUUCUAAUAUUAGUUUUGUUAAAGAAAAUAUGAGCAGAUUUGAUCCCACAUCAGAAGGAUUUAUGAGAUCAGCUAGUGCUAGGUUACCAUCAACACUAACAGAAAAAGAUGGCGACAAGAAAGUUCAACAGCGAGAAGAAUCAAUGAAACGCUUGCUUGAGUGGAAACAGAGAAUGCUUCAAUCACCGUUGACGAGAAAAAGCACCCCAGCUACUAUAUCACUGGCUCGGUCUUUGAACCAAAGUCGGCAGUCUCUAAGAUCAGACCAGUAUAAAUCUAAAACCUAUACAAAUGCUACAUAUAACAGUUAUUCUUCUGACGAUGAAGCUUCUAUGACAAUGCCAGGCGCACAUAUGGACUCCAACUCAAAUAAUAAUUCGUCAAAUCAGCAAGCAUUAUCAAAAAAAGCUUUUCUUGGAAGUAACACCUCUAUCGGAAGAAAUACCAGAGAUGCUAACAUACCUGUACGGGCUGUUAGUCCUAGAGUUAGAUGGGUCGAAGACAAAACUUCUAAUGAUCACUAUGGAUCACAACAGAUGUCUACUUCACAACAAAAUUUACAUACACUAAGUACAGAGGAUGUCUGGGCUACAACUCGGUCGCCUUCAAGAGCUUCUCAACAACCUAUCCGAGCUGUUAGUCCACGGGUCCGAAGGAACACAGAAACUGAUGAUUUGCAAAGGAAUCAGCGAUCGGGUCCUGAGCAGCUAGGAGAAGUCCCGACAGCUGGGGAGCUUCUAGGUCGCACUCACGAGGAGUUGGUACUACUCCUGAUUCAGUUGAGGCGGAGGCAUGCCGCGACGCAUCGUGCAAUUGAACAUUGCUGCGCCCAAAUCACUAGCACGGAGGAAUCCCUCAGUUCUUUAAAAGCAAUAGAACGUGAAGAGAGCCUGCAACGUCUUGAACAACUCAAAAUGCAAUUGAUGGAAUUAGAGCAUCAUUAUGAAAAGAGCAAGCCUUUGGUACAACUAGUGGAUAACAUGGUCAAGUUGGGGUCAUUGUAUAACAGACCCGGUUCCACUGUCGAGCGGCUUGAAAGGAACCAGAGAUUAAGGCAAAAGGUCCUUGCAGAACACGCAAUGGAACAGCAAAGAUGGCUGGAAAGUGCUGCAGCAGGAAAACCCUUGGAGACAGAAGCCGCCCGGGCCAGAGUGGCAGAACUUUGGGCGUUAGAACAGGAACUGGCCGACGAAGCUGCUAUCCUGCAGGGAUUGAAGACUGACAAAGAUACUUUAGAAUCUUUGCUCACUGGUGUUCGAGGAAAAUUAGACAGCGUUCCUCGCACAGACAUCACUCGCAGCAGUAUGAGCAACAUUAUGAAUUCCGGAGCAGGCGCGGGGCUCGAGGCGGAGUUGGCGCGCGUGCACGCCAUGCUCGCGCACAAUUCUAAGGUUUAUAAGAAACUGGAGCAGACGGUGGCAGACAACGCGCGGUUGGAGCGCGAGCUGCAGCAGCUGCGGCGCGCGCUGCAGGCGCGGCGCUCCGCCGGGCCCGCGCAUCCCACCGCCUUGCUCGAGGACGAGGUGACACGAGUACAACAACUGGUAUCAGCGCUGCAGCGCCAGCGACAGGAGCUAAGCCGAGCUGUGAGACACCUCACGCAGCAAUCUCAGGCGCUGCAGACCACGCACGACUCCAUGCCAGGUAAACAACGCCGGCCUUCAUCCAUCUGGCAGGAGACCAACCUGGAUACCGGUCAUACGAUCGAGCACGGACAAGGAGACUACGACUACGACAUUAAUGGACUAGUUCCACCUGGACAUUACGAACAUACCAAUGUGGAGACUCCGUUAUAUGUUGAUACUAGGCCUUCUGCCCCUGACCUCACAUCUCCGAUGACUAGUGAAGAUAUGCAGCAUGGAGGAUUCGCAAAUCUGUCGAAUGUAGAAAAACAAGAGAUCAAAACGGUCAGGAUUGUUAAAAGAGAAAGCGAAAGACGACAAAGAGACAGAGAACGCUCACUACAGCCGAUGUCAGAUUGGACUUCCAACAACAUUACAGCCAAUCUUGACCAAUUCAUAGAGGAAGAACUAGUACAAUCUCUAAAUUAUGCCAGAGCUUCAUCAGUUCCUCGCACCGAUUUUAGUAAAUUCGAAGAAUAUUACGCAAAACCGCAAGAACCUCCAAAUUAUCUUCGCAUAAAUGAUAAAAACAUGGAACUUAGUCCCAAAUAUCCAUCAAGUCCUUCGCUAUCUAACUAUGAUUACUCUCGCGACAUAUCGUCUCUUAGCAGCAGUUACCAUAAGAGCUACGAUCGGUCUGGUUAUGAUAGAACCAUUUCGCUUUCAACUCAGUACCUGAACAGCCCUACAGAUAGUUCCAGAACUUUAACUAACGAUCCCUUAUCAAAAACUAGUAGUAUAGUAAGUCUGACGCGGUCCCAUAUGGAGCUAUCUCCGAUAUUCAAGAGUGAAGCAGCUAAGCAAAUCAUAACGGAGAUGUCUGGAGAGCCAAAGAAUGGAUCUUUACAUAGGAGACAAGUUCCGAAAGAAAAGAGACGGCAUUAUACUGCACCACAUCAUCUUAGUGCAAAGACAUUGAACGAAAUGCCUAAAGAAGUAUAUAAUCAAGAUGUAAGUACCGAAAAAAAAAUGGGUCGUUCCCUGGACGACGCGGACAUGGAGCGCGCGCUGCGCGGCGCGGCGCCCGACGUGGUGCGGUCGGCGCUGCCCGCGCCGCGCCGCGCCGCCGCCGCCAUCGACCAGCUGCUCGCCGCGCCGCGCAAGAUAAUCAUUCCCGAGCGCUACGUCCCUGAAAAGCCUCCAGAACUAUCGCCGGAAGAGCAACAGAAGCGUCAAGAGAAGGUGGAAUCAAUUAAGAAAAUGCUCUCAAGUUCUUCAGCCGACCCUAACAAGAGCCCCGACGGAGAAGAGAAGCGACAGCGGGAACAUUUGCUGCAGAUGAACCAGAUUCUAGCCAAGCAGGUCACCGAGAUGAGCAAAAUCAUCGCCGGAACCAACACUGACCAAGGGCCGUCCACCGCCAACUGAUCCAUACAUAUCAUUCUAAAUGACCUACACAGCAUACCAAACCGCACAUAUACAUAACGUCACAUUAUAUUUACACAUUAACAGCUAGAUUUGCUACUAUUUUCUAUUUUUGGAUGGCCCUUUGAAGACUCCAGUCCAGUUUGUUGCAGCAUGGUUUCGUUUUAUUGCAUUUUGUUUGAAAGCGUUAGAAGAGCUGCCAGAGCGAGACCAAAACUACGAUUUGGACGAUCGGUCGCCCGAUGUCGAACUCCCCAUUUACCAACAACGAGACAACUUUUUCACGUAAAACAUAAUGACUUAACUCAUUAUAAUCUUGAUCGAGAUUAUUAAAAAGAUCAUUGACAUCGAUAUCUUAGAAAUGGUGUCUUUCCUCCCAUCAACUGACGACUUACUAACCUAAAUCUUGACUCAGAUAUUGAUGAAUGAUCAUUAUCUAAUAUAAUCAUCUCUGUGGGCUUUAAUAUAUAUUGUAAGCUGUGUAGUUCAAUUAUUACUACUCAAUAUAUCUAAAAUCUUUGAACUAGCGAUGUUUAUAGUCAAAGGUUUUAAUAUUUACCUUAUAACUAGAAUUGUUAUCCAUUAAUAAAUUUUAAGUACAUACUACUAGUUCACUCAAUUAAGACUAAUGCUUAGUAUAUUUAUUGAUUUAAGUUGUUCCAACUUGUCUUUCUAAUUUUUAUGGAAAGAUAUGAAACAAUUUAUCCCUUCAAGUAUUUUGCGAUACUUUAUCCUGCAUUGCUUUCGAAUACGUAUAUUUAAACUUAAAUUUAUUCGAUACAAAUGUAGUACCAAGUACUACAUUUGUAUCGAAUAAAUUUUUAAUAACUGGAAAAUUGUCGCUUGGUACUUGAAGUUGGAUUCCUGAUUUGGUACUUACUAAAUAAGACUCCGCUUGGCACAUAUCCAUUUAAUGUCAUAUCCAUAGAGGAUGAUACAUGAAGUUUAUCCCGCUUAGCAAUUGAUAACAGGUUAUUUAUUUAUUAACGUUUGCUCAAUUUUGACGACAUUCCCACUGUAGGUAGCUGUUUUAUACUAAUAUUUGGUAGAUUUUCAAUAUUAGCGACUUUCCUAAGGAUUUUGAAUAUCAUUUAGGCCAGUUUUAUAUACAAUUAUAAAAAAAAAUGUGUAUUGUGAAAACUUUGCCUAUGUAUGAAGUCUUCUAUGUAAAAGGCCUUGAAUUUUAUCGUAGAACUAUGUUAAGAUACCUAUACUUAAUUAUUUGUAUUUAGCUAGUAAUAUUUUGUACGAUGCCAUGUUAAUCUAUUAAUUUAACCCAUCAUUAUAGUUAAAGCACACAUUUUAAAGAUUAUACAUUACUUAUAUUAAGUUAAAACGAAUAACAAUGCGUUUUAGUAUUAUUUCGUUUUUAUAUUUUUUUCUUGUAUCAUAACUGUAAAUAUCAUGUAUUUUUAUUUCAAUAAAUUUUAAUGUUUAUGUUACAUGUGUGUUUUUGGUUUUUACAAUUAAUUUUUAACACAGUUUUCUCGGUAGUCAAUGUAAAAAGUUAAAUA